UGGGAUUACCCUGUAAUUGCAGAAGGUGGCUGUUUUGGUAUGACGUUGGUUUCUGUCAAAUAUUGUUCUCGCCCAACUCCGUACUUUGAUCCCCUUAUAAAAUGUGUGUUGUUCUUUCAAAGGUUAAGGUAAAAUCGUCUUCUUAUAGUUUGGCUGACGCCGUUUUCUGAAGGCUCACAAAUUGUUCUGUGUCAACCUUUCUAUUCCACCUGCUAUUUACCGGGCGAGGCCUUAUUUGAGGCAUUUAUUCAAUAACGUCUAGGUUAUGAGGGUCACGUGAAUGAUUUGUUAUCAUUCUAUCAGGUACACCCUCCUGCUAGAAAAUUUAAUUCGAUACUGCAGCCUUCAUCACGAAUAUAUUGUUGAAGCAUGCCCUUCACAUGGUCGCCGAAGGCCAGAAUGUACUUUGCCCCAUAGACAAGGACACAUGAACCCCUUACGGUCCAAAUGUUAAUCCUGCAUGAAGCGCCAUUGUCAGGACAUCUAGUAAGACGAAACAACUGGAUUAAAUUGGGCGCUCGCGUUCGCUUCACAAGCAACUUGUAGCUGAAUACACGAACAGCGAAGGCAUUCAUUUCGGGGGACUCUGUAAUCCGGAACAAUGACGAGGAGAAGAUCAAAACGUAGCAGUGUCAAUGGAAACAGGCAUUUGGCUUCGCUAUUCGAUUAACGCUACUACCGCCAUUAUUGGAGAGCGGCUAUGGCACGCAGGUACAGUCAUGGCAAUUACAUCAGUCCACCAUACACCCGUAGAAGUUUGAGACGACCAGUUGUUUUUUUUUGAGAACAUUCGAUAGAACCUUGAAUUCUACGUAAAAAGUAUCUCCCAGAAGGUAGUGUAUCAAUGAUUUCGCCUAGAUCUUUUCGAAUACUUCCUCGUCUAAUGAAUAUAUGAAGACUUACAUCUUGUGGUUCCUAUGGCGUCUGCUCGUGAAAUAUGACUUUCUACAAAUGACUAGCUUUCACCAAACAGCACAAUUGUAAUUGAUUAUUAUUGUGUGAUGAAUAAUAAAACUGAUUGGCUAGAUGUUGUCUUACUUAAUACUGAAACAAUUGUAGUUAAAUUGUAAAGUGCGAAAAUACGCGCCUUUCAACAGAACCUAUUCCUGGUAGGCCAAAAUUCGUACGUUCCUGUUCUGGGUGCUAUCCAAUAUAUAAUAUAGUUAAGGUAGUAUAGUUACCGCAGUACAGCUAUGUGUACUAGCGUAAAAGUGUACCCGAUCUUCUUUCAG